rnacentral:rRNA from 1 species
UACAGAGGUGGCAAGCGUUGUUCGGAAUUACUGGGCGUAAAGGGCGCGUAGGCGGUCUUGCAAGUCCUGUGUGAAAUCCCUCGGCUCAACUGAGGAACUGCACAGGAAACUGCUUGGCUUGAGUUCGGGAGAGGGAAGCGGAAUUCCGGGUGUAGCGGUGAAAUGCGUAGAUAUCCGGAGGAACACCGGUGGUGAAGGCGGCUUCCUGGACCGGUACUGACGCUGAGACGCGAAAGCCAGGGGAGCAAACGGG